rnacentral:rRNA from 1 species
AGCAGCCGCGGUAAUUCCAGCUCCAAUAGCGUAUAUUAAAGUUGUUGCAGUUAAAAAGCUCGUAGUUGAAUUUCGGGGUCAGUAGAUUGGUCGUGCCACUGGUAUGUACUGGUCUUACUGGCUCCUCCUUCCUGAUGAACCGUAAUGCCAUUAAUUUGGUGUUGCGGGGAGACUGGACUGUUACUUUGAAAAAUUAGAGUGUUUAAAGCAGGCUAACGCUUGAAUACAUUAGCAUGGAAUAAUGAAAUAGGACGUUCGAUCUUAUUUUGUUGGUUUCUAGGAUUGACGUAAUGAUUAAUAGGGAUAGUUGGGGGCAUUAGUAUUCAAUUGUCAGAGGUGAAAUUCUUGGA